GUAGAAGCCACAUUAUUGCUCUUCUGUCAGAAGUGGGUGUCAGCGAUAUCAGAGUUUGCACAGAAUCCCGGACAUUGUCCUGUGAAUCAUCCACCUCAGAGCUGGAAGCAGGUUUCUUUCAUAAAAUUUUGAACUCAAAUCCAUUUACAUAACGGAGUGAAGUGAAAUGCAUAUGGAAGAUUAUAAAAUGGCAAGAAGUAAUAGAAGGCCUGGAAAGAGGAGUCGUCUCCAUCAUGCAGCUGGGCCCAAUUAAUCAGAGUCCUUAAAAGUGGAGAACCUCUGCCAACCGCCAUCAGAGGGCGGUAUGACUAAGGAAGGUUGGGGAGGUGCAGUGUUGCUGCCUUUCAAGAUGGAGGACGGUGGCGUGCCAAGGAGUGUGGUGGGCCUCAGGAGCUGGAGAAGGUCCAAGGAGGCUACAAUGGGAACACAUAGAAAGGCACAUCCCCACAGAUUCUGGAGAUUAAGAAAGCGUUCCCAACUGAUGCAUGGACAGAGAUCUGUGAGGUGCAGUGAGCUUGCUCCAACAAUGAGGGCGUAUUUACAGACGGCUUGAGGAUCCUUGGAGAGAGGCGUGCAAGCACCCAGGGGCAAGAGUACUUCCAACCCCUUUCUUCUGGCUGACUCACAUGGCAACAUGGAAUUAUCCUUCGCAUAGAAAGCAAGACUCCUGGAUAUCAGAGUGGGGCCCUCAACACAAUUUGCUGCCCUUAGAAAGUAUAAUUCUUCUGUAUUCCAUACACAUGUGCCCUGUUGAAGUAUAAUUACUUCCCUCUUUUCCAUUUCCCGAGAAGGAAGGGUGUGUUAAUAGUCAGGAGCAGGGAGACAACAUCAUCAUCAAAUCACUAAAGGGAAGAAUUCACCAGUGAUCGAAAAUGAAACAAAGGGAAAGUGAAUAUUGAUGAUCUCAACUUACAAAAACAAUGGACAGAAAAUGGUACUGCCUUUGUUCUACUAUAAUAUUUUUUCUAGGCAUUGUUUUGCUUUCACAUGUUUCCUGAUAGUUUAGGCCUUUGGGAAAGUGACUAGAGGUUUUGAGGUAGAAACGAUGAAUGUGCAGAGACCCACCCACAGUCUCUCUCUCGUUCCUUGUAGGAGCCAGGAAGGAGGCACGGAGGAGGUGACUGUUAGAAAUGAGGUUACACUCUGUGGCCAUGGGAUUGUACCGAGCCAGCAGGUCCACUGAAGGGUCAAACCAACAGAGCUGACCUCUGCUCCACGCUUUAACCAACAGCGUCAAAUCCUGACCAGCUAGCUGGGCUGGGCUGAACCACACUUUGAUGUGACCUGAGCUGACCCCCAACCCCCACAAUCCAAACACAUGAUUCCUCAGAAAGCAUCCUGAAUUGACCAAAUGGAACCUUCUAACUUAGAAAUGGCCAGUGGCCUGGAGGCAGCCGAGUCAGAAUUGCUUCAACCUUGACCACAGCUGUGAGUCAGUGGGUAAAACUGAGUCUUCAACAACCGUCCUUCUGGUACUAACUUGGGAAUUCAGCAAGAUCCAGAGGGGGAUGGCAUUUUAUUGAGUGCAAGAAGCCAGGUUCAAGUUUUCAAAAAACCCAUUGUUACCCUACAGAUUUUACUUAGCGAGGAAACAUAUAUGUAAAUUCCUGUGUAUACGUGUGUAUUACUGACCCAGAAAUUAUCAUUAGAAGAUUGGGAAACUUGUUUUUUUAGUCACAAUGGCCUCUGAUGGAGAGUCUUCAAGCACUUUUCCCCACAGCUGACUGAAGCCAGAAUAUGUGAACACAUACUUCCAAAGGAUCUGUUUCCCCAUUGUAACUGUUACCAUCUUGGGAUCAUGUCUAAAUAGUACCUGACUUGGAUGAAAAGCAG